UAUAUAAAAAUUCUUCAAAAUUUAAUGUGUUUUGAGAGUGUGUUCAUCAAAGAAGGAUAUAUGAAAAUUUCUAAAAAGAAUUUGUGAAAUGUUAUAAUGUUAAAAUGGUAAGUGAAUAAAUAUGAGAGAGCAAAAUCUUCAUAUUAAAUCUUAUCUAAAAUGUGGUUAAAGAUCCAAGUAAGAAUUAAGGUAGCAUUUUUUUAGAUAAAAUAAAAUGGGCUGAGGACUGAAUGAAAAUUUAUUAAAAAAAACUUUUAUGAAGAAAUAAGAAGUUACAAGAAAAUAAUAACUAUUGAUCAAAAAAAAAAAUAACUAAAAGUGAGUUUAAAUUUUUUAUGAUAAAAAUUCUAAGAAACAUGAAUAAUAGAGUGACACUUCCAAAAUAUGUGGGUUACAUUUAUAAUAUAAAUAGUUAAGAAUAAGAUGAUCAAAUAAAUGAAAAUUAUAAAUAUAUUUUCUCAUAUUUAUUACAUCUCGAUGAGAAACACAUCACAUUUACAAGUUUAAUUUUUCUUAAGAUUGAUUUCAUGUAGGUGUACACAUUUCAAUAAAUAAUGUACUGAGCAAGGAAUGCUAUAAAAAGAAUCGCCUCAGCAUAUUUCGAACGAAGAACUUGUGAUUAAACAAAACACUUGAGUAAUAAUAUUGUUUAAUUUACUUUCAAAAUAUAAAGUGAUAACAAUAUUUUAUGUAAUUGACUUUUACAGAUAUUGUGCAUGUGCCCGAUAAAAAUAUUAUCAGUAUUCAAAACAAAUUGCAAAAAUAUUAUAUUUCAAAAAUUAUGUAUAAAAAUACUUAUAAUUAUAUGUGCAACUGUUAUCAACCACGAAUACAUUUUUUUUUUUUAAAAUGCUAAAAUUAUAUUAAGUGACAUAAUAAGUUGUAACUGGUGGCAACGACAAAAAAAUGAAUGCCCAUUGUAAUCAAAAGCAACCAGCACCAACUAAAACUCAAAAACACAAAAGCAAAGUGUGGUGAAGAGAGACGACGAGGGUCAGGGAUUAGAAAGAGUUGUCGCUGGUGGGAGCAAUUGUCAGUCCAACCAACACCGUCGUUCGAUCCAAUGCCAGUCAAGAACACCACAACGAUUAAUGUCCUCACUCUGAAUAUGCUAGGAUUUCGUGAUUGGAGAAAGUUCGGCCGAGGAAAUCACAGCAUCAGAGAAAAAGCGAGGAGAGAGAUAGAGAGAGCGAGGAGAGAUGGAGGCAAAAGAGAGAGGGAGGAGAGAGACAGAGAAUGAGCUAGAGAAGGAGAAGGGAAGAAAUGGGGAGAGGCAAGAACAAAGAACCGUAUAUAUGCAAAUAAAUUGUAGAUUUUUAAAAAAGGAAGCAAAAUGCAAUUUUGGUAGAAGAUUGUAGUAUUGCAAUUAAAAUGUUAAAAAGAGGUAUACUUGGUAAAUAGCAUAGUUUUUUUAUGUAGCUAACAGCAAAUUGUUGGAACAAUUUUACUAGAACACAACUGAAAACUGGGUUUAAAAGGAGACUUACCAUGUCUGCAUCAUUCUUAAAUAGAGAAAUAAGUUUCACUACUUAUACUAUUUAUAAAUACUAAUUAUAACACUUUCAUAUGGCGCAGCCAAGGAGAAUUAAACAGCAAUUACAAGUUCUGGACCAGGCAUGUGUUCAUAAGGCUGCUGCAUCAGAUCGAUACUCAGUUUUUACCUUGAGUGGACUGGUGGGAAAGCUGAGGUGAGUGAGCUUCUUGGGAUCCAGCAGGAGGAGCCUGAGCUUCGGGGGAUCCAGCAGAGAGAACUUCAGCUUCAUCAGAUCCAGCACGAGGAACCUGCUUGGGUAGGUUUGCUGGAUGAUUAAAUCUGCAUGCUGGUCCCUCCUUGCAGACCCCAUAGCCACCAUCGAAUGCACAGACUUCAGUAUCCUAAAUCAUCAAGAAUUAGAAAAAGGUAAUACAAACUUUACUAGUGUACAGAUAUGAAUACCUGUCAUCUCGAAAGAGACACACCCUCCCAGAUAACCUGGUACAAAUUACUAAUUAAUUUUUCAUCAAAGUACAUUAGGGAAUUUCACUUACAGAUCCUAGAGGCUGCUCUUCUGGUUUCUCUUCAGGCUGCUCUUCUGGUUUCGGAGAUCCUAUAGUAAGCAAUCUUGCCUGGUUCGGCUGAAAGGGUUUGGCAACAGCUGCAGCAGUUUUCAUAGAAAAUGUCGUAGGGAUUGACGGGCUCCAUUCUUUGUAGGGUACCUUAGGUAAAGGAGAAAUAGCACAGGAACUUACAUUAAGAUAUAAUCUGAAUGAAGCUUCGGGUGUAACCCAUGACAUGGAAGAUAUUUGACUCCACAAACAAACAAAAUCGAACCAAAUCUGGCUCUUAUCUUACCUCUCGAAAGCAAAGGGCAUUUGUAGAGAAUGUGUUUUCUCUUACUUAAGACUUUAUCUUAGUUCAAAAAUGUUAAUACUUACACUAACACAAAAGCUAAUAAGAUUAGACCUCCCUUUAGCAUUGCAAAAGGCUGCGGGGGAGAAUGAUUUUAAUUGAUUAAAUCUCAAUGGGACUAGACACAUUAAAGUGACAGUUUAACAUCCAGGAGCCUCAUGUUAAGCGAUCUAACCAGUUGUGAGAUGCUGCAUAUAUAUUUAGUCUAAUAUACUACUAAAUACCUGAUUACCACUCCAUUCAGAGGAUGGAAAAAUUUGUUCCUGUUGAUACAUGUAGGGGUUGCACAGAUUAAUUUCGUUUACUGGUGCAGUAAAUGACCAGCUGCAUUGCAUAGUAUCUUCCAACCCUGUAUAUCCAGAAUGAAGGAAUCCUCCUUCCAUUGAUGAAGGUUCCGAAUGAUCAAACCAACAGUUUAAACCAUACUGGCAUGAACCAUUUUGCCUGUAGUGAGGGCAUUCUUUCGCUACCUGAUAAAUUGUAAACAAUAUCAUUUCUAGCCUAAAGUACUACAUGUUAAAUAUCCCAAUCAUUUUGUUUGAGAACUAUAGUGCUAUGAUUUAUUGUAGGAGGAUUAAGUUAAGAUAUUCUUUAAAAAACAUACAUUAGCAAAUUUUAUCCUAAAUCUGACAUGAUUAACUGCAAUAUGUUUAAUACAUAUUAAAUUUUUUCUGAUAACUUUAGAAUAGUAUAUGUCUUACUAUAAUAUAUGAUUUUUGAAAAUAUAUAUUUGAGUUGUCAAAAGACAUGGAUAAAUAUAAUUAUCAUGUCCUAUAAGAUGAAGUAGAAAAUAAAGAGUUGAAGAAAUGACUGAAUAGUACUUGUGGAACUGGCAGGCCACUGAAAUUAAAGUCCGAAACUGGAGCCACCACGGUUUCAUUUAAACAUCCCUACAUGUAAAAAUAUUUAUUUAGUUAAACAUCACGAUAUAUAAAAAGAUCAUAUAUUUUUUUUUGUUAUUCUUGAAUGUUAAUUCAUACAGACAUAUUAUUAUUCAUUAUUAUUGUUUAGAGAGAAGAAAAAAUAAUUUCCUAAAAUUAAAGAACUUGGGGAGAAUAAACUAAAAAGAGAACUCCAAUCGAACAUGUGCAAAGUUACACAGGUCAUGUAUGUUUUAGUGGCCUCUGAUUCCUGUAUGAACAAGCAUAAUCUCAUACACUGCUAUCCUUUUAUACAAUCAUUGGAGAUUUAAUUCGGCAACAAGUCUUUGUGGCAAUAAUUAAGUAACAAUAGGUGUUGUCAGGACAAGCUUUAUCACCAACCAUCAAGAAAGGAUAACACGUUUUUCCUAUUUUUUUUUACGAGGCAUUACACCACAUUAUUAAGUAAUUUCACUGUCCGUGCCCAUAAUGGGGUAAAUCCACAUGCAACUACAGAGGGUGUAAUGAUUUUAUAGUAAAAACAUAUUAUAUAUGUGAAGCUAAACAUAGCGAUCCACAAUUUGUGAGGCAUCAUUCCUACUGAACAAUGGGAGCUAAGAUUGAGGAACAAAUAUGUCAACUUUCUAGAAAUGAGCGUAAAGUGUUAAUUAAAUACCUCUAGAAUUUAUAUAUAUAUAUAUAUAUAUAUAUAUAUAUAUAUAUANNNNNNNNNNNNNNNNNNNNNNNNNNNNNNNNNNNNNNNNNNNNNNNNNNNNNNNNNNNNNNNNNNNNNNNNNNNNNNNNNNNNNNNNNNNNNNNNNNNNNNNNNNUUUUAUUAAAUUAAAUAAUUUUUUAUUAAAUUUAACUAACAAAUAUUAUAAAAAUAAUAUAAAUAUAUAUAAUAUUUAUAUUAUAUAUUAAUUUUCGGGUAAUUUCGGGUAACCCAAAUUCAACCCGAAAAUGACCCGUUUUUUCUGGGUUGAUUCUGGGUCCACCCGAAUUCGACCCGAACCCGAAAAACUCCAACCUGAAUUCGUAUUUUACGGGUCGAAUUCGUAUCGGGUUGUCGGGUCGGGUCCAAUAUUGCCACCCUUAAUUCUAAUACAUGAAUUAACAUAAAACUUUCAAAAGAACAACCAAAUUAAAUUAUUUAUACCUGAGCAAGCUGAUUGUAUGGAUGGUUAAAUCUGCAAUUGGAUCCAUACAUGCACCAACCAUAAUUCACAAAAUAGAAGCAAUUCUUCACCUCCAGCCUUAGUGGGUAGUUCUGCUUCUGAUGAUCUCCAUCUUUGGACACCAUAGGACCUCCUCGGGCAUCCUCAUUUUCAUUCACAAGAUCCUUCAUAGCUGAAUUCUGAAGCUCUUGGCUCAAAACAUCAUCUUUCUUGUAACCUAACACUUCAAGACUCUGAUAAUCACUAAAAUUAAUUGUUCCAAACCUCAAGCCCUUGUUGCUAAUUCCCUCCAUUGUCCCUCCACCUAAGAAUUAUAAACCCUAAGCUCAAAAAACAAUCUCUUUUUCUCCCUCUCUGGUUAAGCACAAAGACUUGUAAAAAGUAAUACUGCAAUGAGGAAAAGAAGAGUGUAGAAUAUUGUAGCAUUAAAUUUCUAGAUUUAAAGUUGGAUUUUGCAAUGAGUGCUGCAAAAUUGUCUUAUCUACAGCGAUAUUUAUUGCAAUCUUAAUCUACUAAUGUAUCUGAGGGAGAAAUUAGUUAGGUAGUUAUUUAUAUCAUACAUGACAUUUUGCUCUCAUAAAAUAUAAUUGGCCCUCCUAUCGUCUGUUUUUGAAUACUAUUCCUUUUAAGGAUGUAUGUUUUUCUUUGGGCGAGAGAAUUGUGUGUAAAACUGAAAUAUAGGCCCACUUGAUGAAUAUUAAGUUUGGACCCCAAAACAUGUUUUAAGUGGAGACUAUAAUCCCAUAUAAAUUGAAAUAAUAUAUAGUUUAUGAAUUAAAUAAUAUUUAAAUAAUUGAAUAUUAUGACACAUUCUUUUUAUUAUUUAAUCUAAACAUUUCUAUUUGUUCGGCGUUUAACAAUUGAUGUAAAGGGCACCUAACUCUCAUUCUCAUCAUCUUCAGCCCCUAGCUUGUUAUUGAAUUGGAUUGUUCAGGUAUCAUAUAUAAAGAUUUGAGGAAAUCUAUAUCUACGAAUCAUAGUUUCUCAAAAGAACUCAAUCACUUGCAAGAGGUUAUCUUGGCUAAAGGAUUUGUCUCAAUCAAAUUUGUCAUAGAUAAAAAUAUAGUCACCUAUAAAUAGAAUUAAUUGAGCACAAAAAUGAGUGGGAUAGAGGAGUAUAUUAUAGCAAGAUAUUUAUAAUUAUUUGUUAUAAUUAUAAACAAAUAUUAUAAAAUCAGUUACUUUUCAGAGUUGCAUAUGUAGUCUUACCUUAUUUUAAAAAAAAAAAAAUCAAAAGUUGGAUAGCAUUGAAAAAUCCUUAAUAUUAUAUAUCUUGCAAUGUCAACUCGUUUCUGAUAACAAUAAUAACGAAACUUAUGUAAUAUCUAUUAUUAUAUUGGUGUAAAUAAGAACUUAAUUAAUUAAAAAAUCAUAUUUACAUAUUAAUUUUCUGAAUUAAGUAUUUCGAGAGGUUUUAACAUUCUUAUUUAAUAUCCUGACAAAAAAACAUUCUUAUUUAAUACAAAUAAGUAUUUAUUAAGUAUAGGUUUACAUACUAUUUUCACCAAUAUAUAACUAAAAUGAGGAAAAUAAGAUAAACCUUAUGAUACUCUCAAGAUCUUGAAAGGGGAAUCUCCCGUGGUACUAGCGGUGUAUUUUAUAAAUUUGUAGGAAAAUAAUAUAUGAAAAUUCAAUGACGAACAUGACAAAAUGGAACUCAACUAGUGACAAAGUCGAUCAAAUAAGCUUCGACAAGACCGUGUCCAACUACAUUCUUGCAUCCUCUGACAUUAGUUUAAGUAUGGAAUCAGUAAACCCAGCCAUAUUAUUCAUCAUUCUGAAUCUAGCUUCUUUUCCCAUCAUUCUCUCAUUCAAUUCCACCAAUCUUUUAUCUAUUGUAUCAUCCUUCACUAAAAACUUUAUACCACUUUCCAAAUCUUGCUUUCCCAAUCCGCUUAAUCUAAUGCCGAGUCGCCAAACCUCAACAAUGUACUUGCAAUUCAGAAACUGAUCCCCGGCAAUAGGAUAACAUAACAUCGGUUUCCUGCAUUGUAUCGCCUCCACAGUCGAAUUCCAACCGCAAUGUGUUAAAUAACAUCUCACAGCCUUAUGUUGAAGAACUUUCAGUUGCGGUGCCCAUGACACAAUCUGGCCAAACUGUGAAACCUUUUUUAUAUAUCCUGUUGGUAAUCCCUGACGCCAGUUGGCUCCUAGUACCCAUAAAAAUGGUCGUGCCAAGGCUUCGAGGGCUAAUGCUAGACUUUUUACUUUCGUUUCUUCAAUCGGGCUAACCCAACUUCCAAAUGAAAUGUACAAAACAGAGCCAUCGUUUUGGUUAUUUAGCCAAUCUAGGCAACUAUGAUCUUCUUCCCAAAAGCUGACAUGUUUAGUUCUGCGGUCGUCAGUUGGAAAUCCGAUUGGGAGGAUUUGUGGGUGAUCAUCAGACUCGUCAUUAGUAUUGAUCUGUUUUGGUUGCUUGUUAUUGUUGCAAUAAUGAUUCGGGUUAGUGAUGACUAGGAGCCACCGAAGGGACCUGGAUCUGUCCAUGGUUCUGUUCCAGAAAAUAAAUCUUGCUUGUCUUUGAGCUGAUGUUCCGAUUAGCCAGGGCAGAUCAUCUGAACUUAUGCUAGGCUCCACUGAUUUCAGCAACAUUGGACCUUGACAUCGUGGAAUACCUGUCAAUUUUAGUUGUCCAAUCAAAUAGAUAUUAUGUCCAUUUUACGGUGUGCAUAUUAUCACACGUUUCCUCCAUAACAACUUAAAGAAUGGUUGAUUUUUUUAUCAAAUAAAAAUUCGAAUAUGAGAUUUUUGUUUGUAAAGAAAAUUUAUCAAACUACACCGUUAACACUUAUAUCCCGAGCAAAUUUUUAUAUCCAGAGCUAAAAAAAAGCAUGAAAAGACGAAAUUACCCUCACACUAUUUUUUUUCUUUUGUUGUUAUUGUAUAUGCACGGGACAAUUUUGUCUUUACAUACUUAUUUGCUCUGGAUAUAGCAUUUCCCUAUUAUGUGUCCAGAAUCUCAUAAUUCAUCCAAUUUAGGACGGAUUGAAUAAAUAAUACCGUUCAACACUCAUGCAUCAAGUAAAGUUCAUAUUUUAUUCAAUUAUAAUAAAUUAUAUUAUUAAAAGUGUAUAUUAUUUUUAAAAAGUUUAACAUGUAAGUUAUUAUAUUAAAUUAAUAUGGACUUAAUUUUUGGUAAAAGAAAACAAAGAAAUGAGGUCAAUAUAAACUUGGACGACAUGGCAUAUAUGAUAUAUAUAUAUAAAAAUUCUUCAAAUUUUAAGAUUUUUUGAGGGUGUGUUCAUCGAGGAUAUAUGAAAAUUUCUAAAAUGAAUUUAUGAUACGGUAUAAUGUAAAAAUGAGAAGGAAUAAAUAUGAGAGCAAAAUUUUCCAUAUUGAAUAUCUUAUAUAAAAUGUGGACAAAGAUUGACGUUAGAAUUAAGGUAUAGCAUUCCCUUAAAUAAAAUGUAACGGAAAGAGAGGAUAA
rnacentral:lncRNA from 1 species